rnacentral:rRNA from 1 species
UCGACGCUGAAGCACUCUGCUUGCAGAGUGURGAUGAGUGGCGAACGGGAGAGUAACACGUGGGGAACCUGCCCAUAAGAGGGGGAUAACAUCCGGAAACGGGUGCUAAUACCGCAUAGGUGAUCAUAGCGCAUGCUUAGAUCAUUAAAGAUGGCUUCGGCUAUCGCUUAUGGAUGGCCCCGCGGCGUAUUAGCUAGUUGGUGAGGUAAUGGCUCACCAAGGCUGUGAUACGUAGCCGACCUGAGAGGGUGAUCGGCCACACUGGAACUGAGACACGGUCCAGACUCCUACGGGAGGCAGCAGUAGGGAAUCUUCCACAAUGGGCGAAAGCCUGAUGGAGCAAUACCGCGUGAGUGAAGAAGGUCUUCGGAUCGUAAAGCUCUGUUGUUAGAGAAGAACAAGAGGUGUAGUAACUGGCACCUCCUUGACGGUAUCUAACCAGAAAGUCACGGCUAACUACGUGCCAGCAGCCGCGGUAAUACGUAGGUGACAAGCGUUGUCCGGAUUUAUUGGGCGUAAAGCGAGCGCAGGCGGUCUUUUAAGUCUGAUGUGAAAGCCCACGGCUCAACCGUGGAGGGUCAUUGGAAACUGGAAGACUUGAAUGCAGAAGAGGAAAGUGGAAUUCCAUGUGUAGCGGUGAAAUGCGUAGAUAUAUGGAGGAACACCAGUGGCGAAGGCGACUUUCUGGUCUGUAAUUGACGCUGAGGCUCGAAAGCGUGGGGAGCGAACAGGAUUAGAUACCCUGGUAGUCCACGCCGUAACGAUGAGUGCUAAGUGUUGGAGGGUUUCCGCCCUUCAGUGCUGGAGCUAACGCAUUAAGCACUCCGCCUGGGGAGUACGGCCGCAAGGCUGAACUCAAAGGGAAUUGACGGGAACCCGCACAGCGGUGGAGCAUGGUGGGUUAAUUCGAAGCAA